UGCGCAGGCGGUUUCUCAAGUCAGGGGUGAAAGCCCGGAGCUCAACUCCGGAAUUGCCUUUGAAACUGUGAAGCUAGAGUGCGGGAGAGGUGAGUGGAAUUCCCAGUGUAGAGGUGAAAUUCGUAGAUAUUGGGAAGAACACCGGUGGCGAAGGCGGCUCACUGGCCCGUUUCUGACGCUCAUGCACGACAGCGUGGGGAUCAAACAGGAUUAGAUACCCUGGUAGUCCACGCCGUAAACUAUGGAUGCUAGCCGUUGGGUAGCUUGCUACUCAGUGGCGCAGCUAACGCCUUAAGCAUCCCGCCUGGGGAGUACGGCCGCAAGGUUGAA
rnacentral:rRNA from 2 species